rnacentral:rRNA from 1 species
UACGUAGGGUGCAAGCGUUGUCCGGAAUUACUGGGCGUAAAGAGCUCGUAGGCGGUUUGUCGCGUCGUCUGUGAAAUCCCGCAGCUCAACUGCGGGCUUGCAGGCGAUACGGGCAGACUAGAGGUAGGCAGGGGAGAGCGGAACUCCUGGUGUAGCGGUGGAAUGCGCAGAUAUCAGGAGGAACACCGGUGGCGAAGGCGGGUCUCUGGGCCGAUACUGACGCUGAGGAGCGAAAGCGUGGGGGAGCGAACAGG